rnacentral:rRNA from 1 species
UACGGGGGAUGCAAGCGUUGUCCGGAAUCAUUGGGCGUAAAGAGUUCGUAGGUGGUUUGUUAAGUUUGGUGCUAAAUACAGAGGCUCAACUUCUGUUCGGCAUCAGAUACUGGCAGACUUGAAUGCGGUAGAGGUAAAGGGAAUUCCUGGUGUAGCGGUGAAAUGCGUAGAUAUUAGGAGGAACAUCGGUGGCGUAAGCGCUUUACUGGGCCGUAAUUGACACUGAGGAACGAAAGCCGGGGUAGCAAAU